GACAAACGCUGGCGGCGUGCCUAAUACAUGCAAGUUGAGCGCUGAAGGUUGGUACUUGUACCAACUGGAUGAGCAGCGAACGGGUGAGUAACGCGUGGGGAAUCUGCCUUUGAGCGGGGGACAACAUUUGGAAACGAAUGCUAAUACCGCAUAAAAACUUUAAACACAAGUUUUAAGUUUGAAAGAUGCAAUUGCAUCACUCAAAGAUGAUCCCGCGUUGUAUUAGCUAGUUGGUGAGGUAAAGGCUCACCAAGGCGAUGAUACAUAGCCGACCUGAGAGGGUGAUCGGCCACAUUGGGACUGAGACACGGCCCAAACUCCUACGGGAGGCAGCAGUAGGGAAUCUUCGGCAAUGGACGAAAGUCUGACCGAGCAACGCCGCGUGAGUGAAGAAGGUUGUCGGAUCGUAAAACUCUGUUGGUAGAGAAGAACGUUGGUGAGAGUGGAAAGCUCAUCAAGUGACGGUAACUACCCAGAAAGGGACGGCUAACUACGUG
rnacentral:rRNA from 1 species